GAGCUAAUACAUGCUAAAAGCCCCGACUUCGGAAGGGGCGUAUUUAUCAGAAUCAGAACCAAUGCCCUUCGGGGCUCCCUGGUGGCUCAUGAUAACUCCACAGAUCGCAUGGCCUUGCGCCGGCGAUGGCUCAUUCAAAUUUCUUCCCUAUCAACUUUCGACGGUACGGUCUUGGCCUACCGUGGUUGCAACGGGUGACGGAGGGUUAGGGCUCGACCCCGGAGAGGGAGCCUGAGAAACGGCUACCACAUCCAAGGAAGGCAGCAGGCGCGCAAAUUAUCCAAUCCCGACUCGGGGAGAUAGUGACAAUAAAUACCGAUACAGGGCUCUUUUGGGCCCCGUAAUUGGAAUGAGUACAAUUUAAACCUCUUAACGAGGAACAAUUGGAGGGCAAGUCUGGUGCCAGCAGCCGCGGUAAUUCCAGCUCCAAUAGCGUAUAUUAAAGUUGUUGUGGUUAAAAAGCUCGUAGUCGAACCUCGAGCCCGGCCGGCCGGUCCGCCUCACCGCGUGCACUGGUCUGGCCGAGCUCUUCCCUCUGCGGAACCUCAUGUCCUUAACUGGGCGUGCUGGGGAGGCAGGACUUUUACUUUGAAAAAAUUAGAGUGCUCAAGGCAGGCCAAUGCUCGGAUACAUUAGCAUGGAAUAAUAGAAUAGGACGUUGGUUCUAUUUUGUUGGUUUCUAGGACCGCCGUAAUGAUCAAUAGGGACGGUCGGGGGCAUCAGUAUUCAGCCGCGAGAGGUGAAAUUCUUAGACCGGCUGAAGACUAACUACUGCGAAAGCAUUUGCCAAGGACGUUUUCGCUGAUCAGGAACGAAAGUUAGGGGAUCGAAGACGAUCAGAUACCGUCGUAGUCUUAACCAUAAACGGUGCCGACUUGGGAUCGGGCGCUGUUCUCUCUAGACGCGCUCGGCACCAUUCGAGAAAUCAAAGUGCGUGGGCUCCAGGGGGAGUAUGGCGGCAACGCUGAAACUUAAAGAAAUUGACGGAAGGGCACCACCAGGGGUGGAACCUGCGGCUUAAUUUGACUCAACACGGGGAAACUCACCAGGUCCGGACACAAUGAGGAUUGACAGAUUGAGAGCUCUUUCUUGAUUUUGUGGGUGGUGGUGCAUGGCCGUUCUUAGUUGGUGGGGUGACUUGUCUGCCUAAUCGCGAUAACGAACGAGACCUUGACUGCUAAAUAGCACGCGCCGCCUCGGCGGUGUCGCGGCUUCUUAGUGGGACUAUCGGCUCAAGCCGAUGGAAGUUCGAGGCAAUAACAGGUCUGUGAUGCCCUUAGAUGUCCUGGGCCGCACGCGCGUGACACUGACAGAGCCAGCGAGUUCUUCCCUUGGCCGGAAGGCCCGGGUAAUCUUGUGAAACUCCGUCGUGAUGGGGAUAGAGCAUUGCAAUUGUUGCUCUUCAACGAGGAAUCCCUAGUAAGCGCAAGUCAUCAGCUUGCGUUGAUUACGUCCCUGCCCUUUGUACACACCGCCCGUCGCUACUACCGAUUGAAUGGCUCAGUGAGGUUUUCGGACUGGCCCAGGAAGGCGGGAGACUGCUAUCCAGGGCCGGAAAGUUGCCCAAACUCGG
rnacentral:rRNA from 1 species